rnacentral:pre_miRNA from 2 species
AGAGUGGGUUUGAGCCAGGAAUGACUUGCCGCAAGUCACUUCUCAGUUAAGCUGCUGUCUAUUAUAUGUAUGGCUUAACUGUGUGUUGAUCCGGCAAGUUGUUCCUGCUCACUUUCGCUCUCU